UUCCAGCUUGGUUAGCGCAUGCGCCUUCCGACCAGCCGCACGUCAUCACGUAUGAAGGUGCGCACGGCACGGUUCGCGCAUGCGCGAUCAAUUAAUGGCGGCCAGACCGGCGGAUUUAAAAGAAGACGAGGACCAACAGCAAUUCAGCAAGCUCCUGAGGAAGUCGACAUCGACAAAACGCGUUGAGCACCUCCAAGAUCCCUGCAGUUUUUGGUAUAGCAGUCUUUUUCUACAAGCAUUCCAUCUCAUAGUAUUUGUGCACUUUAUGCUGUUUUUGAACUACUGGCAUUUGCACUUUUGUAUUUCAGCACUUGGCACUUUACU